GUUAUUUGAUUAAUAAAUAAUCUCGCCUGCUCAGUGGUAAAUAGCUGCAGUAUUCUGACUGUACAAAGGUAGCAUAAUAAAUUGCCUUUUAAUUGGAGGCUUGUAUGAAUGGUGGAACAGGGAGAGAAGUUUUAUUUCUUGAAUUUAAGUUAACUAUAAAAACGUUGUUAUAAACUCUGGGACGAGAAGACCCUAGAAGCUAUUAGAGUCUGUUGGUUGGGGUGACAUAUGAAUAGAUUCAACUUUAUAUAAGUUACUCUAGGGAUAACAGCGUAAUCGAAAUUAGGAGUUCUGAUUUGAAUUUUGGUUUGCGACCUCGAUGUUGAAUUAAAAGGUGAAGGAGCUUUAGUCUGUUCGACUAUUAAAUAUUUACA
rnacentral:rRNA from 1 species